UCACCCUCCCAAAAAAGAUCAAUUUUUAAUGAUAAAGAUAUGUCUUAUAAUAAAGGGUUAUCACAUUAAACCUGAAACCAGUCUAAACCUAAACACACAAAUUACAGUUUUAUUACUGACAACGUAUUGAUAACUUAUAAUAUAGCAAUGUUAUAACUGGAACAAGUUGCAUUAACAAUCAAAAAAAGGGACUACAGAAAAAUUAAGGAUUAAAUGGACCGUCCUGUUGAGAGAACCCACCAAAGUAAUAAAAGAAAAUGGAAAAUGAAGAAAACGCCUUCCAUUAAAGGAAAUUAUAAUGAGGAAGUGCAAUAAAGGAUCUAGAAUGGCAAGAGUUUUUGGCAAGUAAAAGUAAUUUGAAAGAUGACAAUUGAGUAUAAACAGAAAACAAAAAUAUAAUAAAAGAGUAACUAUAAUGUCAGACAGGCCCAGCUAAAAUUAUUAGCUAGAAAAUAUCUUUGAAACUAAACAAAAUAUGAACAUAAAACAGUCAUCGCCAGGUACCAGAACAUAAAUUGACAGAAAUGAACAAGUGGAUACAUUUGAAAGGAUUAGUUUCUAAACUGUUGAUAGGACCUUCUUGGAACCUGUGGCAUAUGGAAUUAUCCAUACAAUCAGUUAAAACUUUUAGAAAAGAAGGCAUAUGGUAUUACAAACAAUUAACAAUUGAGAUGAAAAGAUGUGUCAUGGGUGAGACUCAAGCCAACGUUCAGAUCAGCCCUCGUUAUAUUUUGUCAUUGAUCCUCUGUGACUUGGUCUCUGAGAGUUCAUCUACUCAUUUCAACCUUAUAAAUAUAAAACUCUUUUUUUUUCCUUUUUUCUUUUAACAUCAUACUAAGCUUUUGGUAGUUGCUCGUACAAUCCACAAAAUUAUCAGUAGAUGGUGUAUAUAAACAGUUAAGAAAUGUGAGGAACGGAUGUGAAAGCCUGUCUUUUGGUCACUACUCCGAUUGUCACUGAGCCAUUGUGACUUCAGUCCCUGAGAGCAAAUCUUAUCUGAACUUAUAACUACUACAUUUACAACUCCUUUUUUUAAUUUAUUUGCCCUUAUACAAAAAUUGUGGCAUCUUACAGCUGUACGAUCCACACAAUUAACAGGAAGGAAACCAGGGGCCAGGCAGUUCAGUACUGCCAUUGAUGAUAAUGGCACAAUUGAAAUUAAAUUAUUCCCAAAUCAAAUCAACAAGUAACUUUUAACGUCAUCUGUAAAAUAAAAAGAUUCAUUUUAAAACUAAGUAAA